GGAAGUAAAAGCGUAACAAGGGCUCCGUUGGUGAACCAGCGGAGGGAUCAUUACCGAGUUUACAACUCCCAAACCCCUGUGAACAUACCUAUCGUUGCCUCGGCGGUGCCCGCUCCGGCGGCCCGCCAGAGGACCCCCAAACUCUUGUUUUAUACAGUAUCUUCUGAGUAACACGAUUAAAUAAAUCAAAACUUUCAACAACGGAUCUCUUGGUUCUG
rnacentral:misc_RNA from 1 species